rnacentral:rRNA from 1 species
UAAUACGGGGGGAGCAAGCGUUGUUCGGAUUUACUGGGCGUAAAGGGCGCGUAGGCGGCGUAACAAGUCACUUGUGAAAUCUCCGGGCUUAACCCGGAGCGGCCAAGUGAUACUGUUGUGCUAGAGUGCGGAAGGGGCUACUGGAAUUCUCGGUGUAGCGGUGAAAUGCGUAGAUAUCGAGAGGAACACCUGCGGCGAAGGCGGGUUGCUGGGCUGACACUGACGCUGAGGCGCGAAAGCUAGGGGAGCGAACGGGAUUAGAUA